CCUACGGGUGGCAGCAGUGAGGAAUCUUGGUCUAUGGGCGGAAGCCUGAACCAGCCAAGUAGCGUGCAGGAUGACGGCCCUCCGGGUUGUAAACUGCUUUUAUACGGGCAUAUCGCGCCUUAUGUGUAGGGAUUUGCAUGUCCCGUAUGAAUAAGGACCGGCUAAUUCCGUGCCAGCAGCCGCGGUCAUACGGAGGGUCCGGGCGUUAUCCGGAUUUAUUGGGUUUAAAGGGAGCGUAGGCCGCAUGUCAAGCGUGCUGUGAAAUGUCCGGGCUCAACCCGGGCCUUGCAGCGCGAACUGGCGUGCGUGAGUCCGCGGAAGGCAGGCGGAAUUCGUCGUGUAGCGGUGAAAUGCUUAGAUAUGACGAAGAACCCCGAUUGCGAAGGCAGCUUGCUGCAGCGGAACUGACGCUGAUGCUCGAAAGCGCGGGUAUCGAACAGGAUUAGAUACCCGGGUAGUC
rnacentral:rRNA from 1 species